AACUACUCGGUGACGAAAAAUUUCAUUCCGCGUUCUGGUAAUCCGAGAAGAACAGUGGAAAGCGUCACAUAACCCUUUCAGAUUCCUUCCCAAAUCUAAAGCGGGAAGUAGUGGCGCCCCAAUGAAUUAUCAAAUUUGGGGCUUUAAAUAAUUAAAAAUUUAAGACUAAUAUUUAAUUGUAGACUACAAUUCACAUUCCCCUUUCUUCUCCUCUCAGCUCUCGCACCACCGUGACCCAGAAACCCUGAACCCGCCGAUCUCGUCUCUCAAUCCUUGUAUAUAUAUCUUUAGCGUGACGACACGCCAAUCCACGCCAAACACCGUAAUCGUCUCUCUCUCUGCGCCCGCUCUCUAUUGCGCCUAUCACCUCCUCGCAAUUUCUUGCUCCACGACUGAAAAACCUAGAACCCUAGAUACUCCUUUCAUCAACAACUCAAAUUCAAGGUUUAAACAAUUCAAUUUUAUCAUUCUUUUUGACAAUGGUUUUGAAUUUGCAAGUAAUUACUUCCAGAAUUAGUAAGCUAUCAGCCCUUCAGCUCCCCAUCCAUCCUCUGAGGCCUCUAAUUCGGAUGGAAUUUUAUUUCUGGACUUCUUUGGUUUUUCUUGGUAAUUUAAGGUAACUGAGCAUUGCAGGUGCAGAACUAUACAUUAUCUUAGAUAACAAUGGAUGAGAUUUUCUACAAUGCUUGAAGAAAAGAGAUUUAAACUUUUGCAGCUAUAAAUGUGUAAUGCGUUCUUCUCUCAGAUCUUUCACAGAAGUAAACUGAACAAUGCAACUGCAGCUGUAUAGCUUGAAAUGAUUCGGGGACUGGCAUCAUGGGUUUUGUGCGUUGUGGCAACAAGUUUGUAUUAGUCAAUUGAGUUGGGAGAACUGGCAACAAGUUUUUGUUAUGUUAUUAGUUUUGAAGUUACAAUUCGAGUGUAUUAGUUUGUAGGAUUUUUAUAUUAGACAUCAUGUAAAUGUAAAAUUUACCUCCAUUUGAAUUAUAAAUAA